UUUUCGCGCGCAGUCCCUCCGAUUUUGUAACGUGUUGCAAUUUGGCCUUUUUCGUUCUUUUCUUUUAUUUUAAUUUAGCUGCACAAUUUUAUUUUUGUUUCAUUUUGGUCCCGCUCAAAGUGAUGCGUUUUGAAGGGCGGGAUAUUUCCUUUUGGGUCCCCCUCCUUUCGCGCGCGUCACAAAUUAGUCCUUUGCUUUUUUUUUUUGAGUUCUCCCCUAGGAUUUUGUUUUAUUUUCAAUUU
rnacentral:lncRNA from 1 species